AGAAUCAACGCUGGCGGCGUGCCUAACACAUGCAAGUCGAACGAGAGAGUGGUAGCAAUACCAUGAGUAAAGUGGCGCACGGGUGAGUAACACGUGACUAACCUACCCUUGAGUGGGGGAUAACUGAGGGAAACCUUAGCUAAUACCGCAUAAUACCCACGGGUCAAAGGAGCAAUUCGCUCGAGGAGGGGGUCGCGGCCGAUUAGUUAGUUGGCAGGGUAAUGGCCUACCAAGACGAUGAUCGGUA
rnacentral:rRNA from 1 species